rnacentral:rRNA from 1 species
UACGUAGGGUGCGAGCGUUGUCCGGGAAUUAUUGGGCGUAAAGAGCUCGUAGGCGGUCUGUCGCGUCGAUCGUGAAAACUUGGGGCUUAACCCUGAGCUUGCGGUCGAUACGGGCAUCACUGGAGUUCGGCAGGGGAGACUGGAAUUCCUGGUGUAGCGGUGGAAUGCGCCAGAUAUCAGGAGGAACACCGGUGGCGAAGGCGGCCUGCUGGGCAGCUGCUGCACUGAGGCGCGACAGCGUGGGGAGCAAACAGG